rnacentral:rRNA from 1 species
UACGGAGGAUGCAAGCGUUAUCCGGAUUUAUUGGGUUUAAAGGGUGCGUAGGCGGGGCCUUAAGUCAGUGGUGAAAUCCUGCAGCUUAACUGUAGAAUUGCCAUUGAUACUGAGGCUCUUGAGUUCGAUUGAAGUAGGCGGAAUGUGUAAUGUAGCGGUGAAAUGCUUAGAGAUUACACAGAACACCGAUUGCGUAGGCAGCUUACUAAGUCGACACUGACGCUGAGGCACGAAAGCGUGGGGAUCGAACAGG